rnacentral:rRNA from 1 species
AUUGAACGCUGGCGGCAGGCUUAACACAUGCAAGUCGAGCGGAGUGAUGGUGCUUGCACUAUCACUUAGCGGCGGACGGGUGAGUAAUGCUUAGGAAUCUGCCAUUUAGUGGGGGACAACAUUCCGAAAGGAAUGCUAAUACCGCAUACGUCCUACGGGAGAAAGCAGGGGAUCUUCGGACCUUGCGCUAAAUGAUGAGCCUAAGUCGGAUUAGCUAGUUGGUGGGGCAAAGGCCUACCAAGGCGACGAUCUGUAGCGGGUCUGAGAGGAUGAUCGGCAACACGGGGACUGAGACACGGCCCAGAGUCCGACGGGAGGCAGCAGUGGGGAAUAUUGGACAAUGGGCGGAAGCCUGAUCCAGCCAUACCGCGUGUGUGAAGAAGGCCUUUUGGUUGUAAAGCACUUUAAGCGAGGAGGAGGCUACUAGUACUAAUACUACUGGAUAGUGGACGUUACUCGCAGAAUAAGCACCGGCUAACUCUGUGCCAGCAGCCGCGGUAAGAC